AAUUUAGGUAUCAGCCUCCCCAUAUUGGCCGUCAAUAUUGUCACCAUUUUGCGUGGACAGAUAUAUGUUUUCUGAACUAAAAUAACUUACGAUAAAUAGAUAACUCUCCCCAGAGUUAAAAGUGGUUCUCCACUACUUUUCAUGCAGCUAGCUGCCAUUCCAUAGCGAGGUACGGUAGGCGAGGAGUUCAAAACCAUGUUCCAAGUCGGAGAAGUUGACAAAAAUGGCGUUUCACUCUUUAAGCAUGGGAUCAAAUACUCUCUUUAAGUAAUUACGUUUGGUAUAAGUUGACAAAAAUGAUUUUAUUAUAUUUUAAAGUAUGUUAAAAAUAAUCUCUUUUAAGUAUGUAGUUAACAAUUAUGGUCCUAUAAGUAUAGCAAAAAUUAUCACUUCAAUUCUCCAACAAAAUAUUAGUCCAACUUUUAUCUAUAGUAUUUGAGAUGAACUAAAAAAAACAGCAUAGUUUACAUUUCCGAAUUGUUUGAACAGAACUUCAUCCGUGGUUGGAUCAAAUAUGAAAUCACAAUUAAAUUCUCCUAUUUUCAUCCAUGUUUGCUAAGAAAUGCUAAAAGCUUGUAACAACAAUAACAAACCUCAACACGUAAGCAACAAUAAUAUGGGCAUCUUGUCAAUCAGCAAGUUGUUUAUGAAUUUAUAGUUCUGGAAUUAGUUACACUUUUACUCGACAAACCUACCAAUGAAUGAAACUAUGAUAGUCAAAGGAAGAGGAGAGGUUAGGUAGUAAAUUGUUGGUAGUUCCAAUUUUUUUCUUUGUUUUGGAGGUAAAACGAACUGAGUCUCAAUCACAAAGCAAGCUAUGAGUAAACACAACUAAUUUCUUCAUCAUCUACAAUUUAAGGAGCUAGAGAAAUAGCAGAUUAAUGUUCAACCAUAUAGUCUGUAUAUACAAGUAUUACCUCUGGACAGAUAGUCCUGGACAAAAAAGUUGGAUAAAUGAACAGUAAAUGUUGAGACACAAGAUUUAUUUACACUAGGACCAAUUUCCUUCGGAAUCCAUUUCAAAAAAAAAAA